rnacentral:rRNA from 1 species
UGAACGCUGGCGGCGUGCCUAAUACAUGCAAGUCGAGCGAACGGACGAGAAGCUUGCUUCUCUGAUGUUAGCGGCGGACGGGUGAGUAACACGUGGAUAACCUACCUAUAAGACUGGGAUAACUUCGGGAAACCGGAGCUAAUACCGGAUGAUAUUUUGAACCGCAUGGUUCAAAAGUGAAAGACGGUCUUGCUGUCACUUAUAGAUGGAUCCGCGCUGCAUUAGCUAGUUGGUAAGGUAACGGCUUACCAAGGCAACGAUGCAUAGCCGACCUGAGAGGGUGAUCGGCCACACUGGAACGGAGCCGCGGUCCAGACUCCUGCGGGAGGCAGCAGGAGGGAAUCUUCCGCAAGGGGCGAAGGCCUGAGGGAGCAACGCCGCGGGGGUGAUGAAGGUCUUCGGAUCGUAAAACUGUGUUAUAAGGGAAAAAAAUAUGUGUAAGUAACUGUGCACAUCUGGACGGUCCCUAACAAGAAAGCCCCGGCUAACUACGUG